rnacentral:rRNA from 1 species
GACGUAGGGCGCGAGCGUUGUCCGGAUUUAUUGGGCGUAAAGAGCUCGUAGGCGGCUUGUCGCGUCGGCUGUGAAAACCCGCGGCUCAACUGUGGGCGGGCAGCUGAUACGGGCAGGCUGGAGUUCGGUAGGGGAGACUGGAAUUCCUGGUGUAGCGGUGAAAUGCGCAGAUAUCAGGAGGAACACCGGUGGCGAAGGCGGCAUUCUGGACCAACACUGACGCUGAGGAGCGAAAGCCAGGGGAGCAAACGGG